UAAUUGAAGAGUUUGAUCAUGGCUCAGAUUGAACGCUGGCGGCAGGCCUAACACAUGCAAGUCGGG
rnacentral:rRNA from 1 species